UCCAGACUCCUACGGGAGGCAGCAGUGAGGAAUAUUGGUCAAUGGGCGGGAGCCUGAACCAGCCAAGCCGCGUGAGGGAAGAAGGUACAGCGUAUCGUAAACCUCUUUUGUCAGGGAACAAAGGCGGGGACUAGUCCCCGGAUGAGGGUACCUGAAGAAAAAGCAUCGGCUAACUCCGUGCCAGCAGCCGCGGUAAUACGGAGGAUGCGAGCGUUAUCCGGAUUUAUUGGGUUUAAAGGGUGCGUAGGCGGACUGGAAAGUCAGCGGUAAAAUCGAGAGGCUCAACCUCUUUCCGCCGUUGAAACUGUCGGUCUUGAGUGGGCGAGAAGUAUGCGGAAUGCGUGGUGUAGCGGUGAAAUGCAUAGAUAUCACGCAGAACUCCGAUUGCGAAGGCAGCAUACCGGCGCGCAACUGACGCUCAUGCACGAAAGCGUGGGUAUCGAACAGGAUUAGAUACCCCUGUAUG
rnacentral:rRNA from 1 species